AAAGUCACCUCCUCAAAGCGAUGGCUGCACUGAACUAAUGGCACCAACCCUUCUGGAUUUUCUGGCUACUUUCUAACGUCACUGACUUGGAGCUUUGUUGACUUCGGCGUGCGUUGGAGUCACACUUCUGUGGCUGCGUUUGCAUGGCUCAGGGAUCCCAUACUGAGGAGCUGCCCGGCCACACAGAAGGUUCAGGUGCAAGAGGAAAUCGAGUCAUCAUCAGUGGCACCUCGCGUUAGCCUGCCAUGGCAACAAGCUCAUUGAUUGAGUAAAAGAACUUUCAGAUGCACUCGCGGGUCUUUCAUAAGUUGCUGAAAGCACAGAUAAGACGGCCAAGGGAACAGACCGAGUUUCCGUGGAUAUGUAGAAAACGAAUGGAAAUUCGCAGUACUUUUACUGAGCCUCUGCGAUGAUGGAGGAGUAAGACACAGAGGAGUUGGGCACCUAAGACCUGAACCCUGAGGACUGAAGGAAGGUGCUUCCUGGCAGAGAUCAGGGUUCUGUAGCUUUCAUGAUGGCUGGGCAUCCCUCCAGGUGUCUUAAGGAACUCCCGAGUAACUCACUGGACCAGCAACUGUGCAUGUGGCCUUCCAAGAGGGAGUGAGGGACACAGAGUGUUUGUCGGAGAAUGAAAGAUUUGUCUGUGUUUUCAAGUGUCUGGCAAAAUGAAGGCAAAAGGCGUUGACAAUUAGCUCUUAGUUCCUACCUUUGGAAGAGGCAUUCACCUGUCAAGCAAGAUGAAAGUGCCCAUGAAGGGACGUUUGUACCAGCAUAAAAUGCAAACCCAUUUGGACAGCAGAAUGGGGCUCG